GAUGAACGCUGGCGGCGUGCCUAAUACAUGCAAGUCGAGCGAACAGACGAGGAGCUUGCUCCUCUGACGUUAGCGGCGGACGGGUGAGUAACACGUGGAUAACCUACCUAUAAGACUGGGAUAACUUCGGGAAACCGGAGCUAAUACCGGAUAAUAUAUUGAACCGCAUGGUUCAAUAGUGAAAGACGGUUUUGCUGUCACUUAUAGAUGGUUCCGCGCCGCAUUAGCUAGUUGGUAGGGUAACGGCUUACCAAGGCGACGAUGCGUAGCCGACCUGAGAGGGUGAUCGGCCACACUGGAACGGAGACACGGUCCAGACUCCUACGGGAGGCAGCAGUAGGGAAUGUUACGCAGUGGGCGAAAGCCUGACGGAGCAACGCCGCGUGAGUGAUGAAGGUCUUCGGAUCGUAAAACUCUGUUAUUAGGGAAGAACAAAUGUGUAAGUAACUAUGCACGUCUUGACGGUACCGAAUCAGAAAGCCCCGGCUAACUACGUG
rnacentral:rRNA from 1 species